rnacentral:rRNA from 1 species
GUGAUAAGUAUUUCGCCGAGGACAUACGCAAGUAUGGCCGAGAUAAAGGAAGUCUUUAGAUCCGCUUCUAAUUCUUAGAUAGAGCUUGCUCUACUAAACCCCAUUUUAUGAUCUGGCCUCAAAUCAGGUAGGACUACCCGCUGAACUUAAGCAUAUCAAUAAGCGGAGGAAAAGAAACUAACAAGGAUUCCCCUAGUAACGGCGAGUGAAGCGGGAUGAGCUCAAAUUUAAAAUCUGGCGGCCUCAGGUCGUCCGAGUUGUAGUCUAGAGAAUCGUUUUCCGCGUUGGCCUGUGUACAAGUCCCUUGGAACAGGGCGUCAUAGAGGGUGAGAAUCCCGUCCUUGACACAGAUUACCAAUGCUUUGUGAUGCGAUCUCGAAGAGUCGAGUUGUUUGGGAAUGCAGCUCAAAAUGGGUGGUAAAUUCCAUCUAAAGCUAAAUAUUGGCGAGAGACCGAUAGCGAACAAGUACCGUGAGGGAAAGAUGAAAAGCACUUUGGAAAGAGAGUUAAACAGUACGUGAAAUUGUUAAAAGGGAAACGAUUGAAGUCAGUCAUGCUUUCCGAGACUCAGCCGAUUCUGUCGGUGUACUUCUCGGUUGGCAGGCCAGCAUCAGUUUCGAUCUGUGGAAAAGGUUGGAGGGAACGUGGCAUCUCCGGAUGUGUUAUAGCCCUUCUUCGAAUACAU